rnacentral:rRNA from 1 species
UCCGUAGGCGGGCAAUUAAGUCAGAGGUGAAAGUUUGCGGCUCAACCGUAAAAUUGCCUUUGAAACUGGUUGUCUUGAAUUAUUGUGAAGUGGUUAGAAUAUGUAGUGUAGCGGUGAAAUGCAUAGAUAUUACAUAGAAUACCAAUUGCGAAGGCAGAUCACUAACAAUAUAUUGACGCUGAUGGACGAAAGCGUGGGGAGCGAACAGGAUUAGAUACCCUGGUAGUC